rnacentral:rRNA from 1 species
GACGAACGCUGGCGGCGUGCCUAAUACAUGCAAGUCGAGCGAAGUUUUUCUGGUGCUUGCACUAGAAAAACUUAGCGGCGAACGGGUGAGUAACACGUAAAGAACCUGCCUCAUAGACUGGGACAACUAUUGGAAACGAUAGCUAAUACCGGAUAACAGCAUCAACUGCAUGGUUGAUGUUUGAAAGUUGGUUUUGCUAACACUAUGAGAUGGCUUUGCGGUGCAUUAGCUAGUUGGUGGGGUAAAGGCCUACCAAGGCGACGAUGCAUAGCCGACCUGAGAGGGUGAUCGGCCACACUGGGACUGAGACACGGCCCAGACUCCUACGGGAGGCAGCAGUAGGGAAUCUUCCGCAAUGGGCGAAAGCCUGACGGAGCAACGCCGCGUGAGUGAAGAAGGAUUUCGGUUCGUAAAGCUCUGUUGUUAGGGAAGAAUGAUUGUGUAGUAACUAUACACAGUAGAGACGGACCUAACCAAAAGCCACG